CUCUGUGACUCCUACGGGAGGCAGCAGUGGGGAAUAUGCACAAUGGGGGAAACCCUGAUGCAGCCAUGCCGCGUGUGUGAAGAAGGCCUUCGGGUUGUAAAGCACUUUCAGUAGGGAGGAAGGUAGUGUAGUUAACACCUGCAUUAUUUGACGUUACCUACAGAAGAAGCACCGGCUAACUCCGUGCCAGCAGCCGCGGUAAUACGGAGGGUGCGAGCGUUAAUCGGAAUUACUGGGCGUAAAGCGCAUGCAGGCGGCCUGUUAAGUCAGAUGUGAAAGCCCCGGGGCUUAACCUCGGAAUUGCAUUUGAAACUGGCAGGCUAGAGUCUUGUAGAGGGGGUAGAAUUUCAGGUGUAGCGGUGAAAUGCGUAGAGAUCUGAAGGAAUACCAGUGGCGAAGGCGGCCCCCUGGACAAAGACUGACGCUCAGAUGCGAAAGCGUGGGGAGCAAACAGGAUUAGAUACCCUGGAG
rnacentral:rRNA from 1 species